GUACACUCCUGCGGGAGGCAGCAGUGGGGAAUUUUGGACAAUGGGCGCAAGCCUGAUCCAGCCAUGCCGCGUGCGGGAAGAAGGCCUUCGGGUUGUAAACCGCUUUUGUCAGGGAAGAAAAGGUUCUGGCUAAUACCUGGGACUCAUGACGGUACCUGAAGAAUAAGCACCGGCUAACUACGUGCCAGCAGCCGCGGUAAUACGUAGGGUGCAAGCGUUAAUCGGAAUUACUGGGCGUAAAGCGUGCGCAGGCGGUUAUGCAAGACAGAGGUGAAAUCCCCGGGCUCAACCUGGGAACUGCCUUUGUGACUGCAUGGCUAGAGUACGGUAGAGGGGGAUGGAAUUCCGCGUGUAGCAGUGAAAUGCGUAGAUAUGCGGAGGAACACCGAUGGCGAAGGCAAUCCCCUGGACCUGUACUGACGCUCAUGCACGAAAGCGUGGGGAGCAAACAGGAUUAGAAACCCCGGUAGUCCCAUGAU
rnacentral:rRNA from 1 species